rnacentral:rRNA from 1 species
GGAAAAGAAACUAACAAGGAUUCCCCUAGUAACGGCGAGUGAAGCGGGAAGAGCUCAAAUUUGAAAUCUGGUGGCCUCAGGUCAUCCGAGUUGUAAUCUAUAGAAGUGUUUUCCGUGCUGGCUCAUGUACAAGUCCCUUGGAACAGGGCGUCAUAGAGGGUGAGAAUCCCGUCCUUGACAUGAACUACCAGUGCUCUGUGAUACAUUUUCAACGAGUCGAGUUGUUUGGGAAUGCAGCUCAAAAUGGGUGGUAAAUUCCAUCUAAAGCUAAAUAUUGGCGAGAGACCGAUAGCGAACAAGUACCGUGAGGGAAAGAUGAAAAGCACUUUGGAAAGAGAGUUAAACAGUAUGUGAAAUUGUUGAAAGGGAAACGAUUGAAGUCAGUCGUGCUCUUUGGAUUCAGCCGGUUCUGCCGGUGUACUUCCUUUGAGUGGGGUCAACAUCAGUUUUGAUCGCUGGAUAAAGGCUGGAGGAACGUAGUACCCUCGGGUAAACUUAUAGCCUCCUGUCACAUACAGUGGUUGGGACUGAGGAACGCAGCACGCCUUUAUGGCCGGGAUUCGUCCACGUACGUGCUUAG